UACGUAGGGUGCAAGCGUUAAUCGGAAUUACUGGGCGUAAAGCGUGCGCAGGCGGUUAUGUAAGACAGUUGUGAAAUCCCCGGGCUCAACCUGGGAACUGCAUCUGUGACUGCAUAGCUAGAGUACGGUAAAGGGGGAUGGAAUUCCGCGUGUAGCAGUGAAAUGCGUAGAUAUGCGGAGGAACACCGAUGGCGAAGGCAAUCCCCUGGACCUGUACUGACGCUCAUGCACGAAAGCGUGGGGAGCAAACAGG
rnacentral:rRNA from 1 species